AGCAGCCGCCGCGGUAAUACGUAGGUGGCAAGCGUUGUCCGGAAUUAUUGGGCGUAAAGCGCGCGCAGGCGGAUAGGUCAGUCUGUCUUAAAAGUUCGGGGCUUAACCCCGUGAUGGGAUGGAAACUGCCAAUCUAGAGUAUCGGAGAGGAAAGUGGAAUUCCUAGUGUAGCGGUGAAAUGCGUAGAUAUUAGGAAGAACACCAGUGGCGAAGGCGACUUUCUGGACGAAAACUGACGCUGAGGCGCGAAAGCCAGGGGAGCGAACGGGAUUAGAUACCCCUGUAGUCCCUGUCUCUUAUACA
rnacentral:rRNA from 1 species